rnacentral:lncRNA from 1 species
CAGUAAAUACAUCCACUUUAAUUAUUCAUUUCUAUUUGCUUGAAGAAACAUUCUUACAUGACACGCAUACGUCCGUGCAUUUUCCUUGUUGCAGCAACAUGAAUUAAAUAAGCCGCUUUCACAAGUAGACCAACUUCAAGGGAUUUCUCGCUAACUUGUUUUCUCUAUGCUCUUCGCACUUUCUCCGCUCAGCUGAAGAAAAGGUAGAGCCUGGUAACCCGGAAGAUGUCAGGAACAAGACAGGAGGAUCUUUCCAGUGCUCCUUCAAAUAACUUGGCUGACUUUCUAUUCACUGGAAAUCUUCCUCCAAGUAUCCAGAGAGUGACACAAUGCACAGCCCGUGUCUUACAAGAACACUUGA